ensembl:misc_RNA Metazoa_SRP Metazoan signal recognition particle RNA
GCCAGGUGUGGUGGCUCACGCCUGUAAUCCCAGCAGUUUCGGAGGCUGAGGUGGGUGGAUCACCUGAGGUCAGGAGUUCAAAACCAGCCUGGCCAAGAUGGUGAAACCCCAUCUCUA